UGAGGAAUAUUGGGCAAUGCCCGCAAGGGUGACCCAGCAACGCCGCGUGGAGGAUGAAUGUCGUAAGAUUGUAAACUCCUGUUAGAGGGGAAGAAUAGUACCGGUUGGACCGGUAUAUGACUGUACCCUCAGAGAAAGCCCCGGCUAACUACGUGCCAGCAGCCGCGGUAAUACGUAGGGGGCAAGCGUUGUCCGGAUUUACUGGGUGUAAAGGGCGCGCAGGCGGGAUAAAAAGUCAGUGGUGAAAUCCUACAGCUUAACUGUAGAACUGCCUUUGAUACUUUUAAUCUUGAGUUCGGGAGAGAGAGACGGAAUUCCAGGUGUAGUGGUGAAAUACGUAGAUAUCUGGAAGAACACCAGUUGCGAAGGCGGUCUCUUGGUCCGACACUGACGCUGAGGCGCGAAAGCGUGGGGAGCAAACA
rnacentral:rRNA from 1 species